AUGAAGAUGAGCUGCAUUGUUCGUAGCAUCCUGCUGCUGCUUUCACUCGAGGCCGCCCUCCUCGUCGCCGCCGGCCGCCCCUCCACGGCCACCGGCACCGACAACGUGGGCGCCAUUCUCCUGCCGAGCGAAGGCAAAGGCCAAGCAGGAACGGUGGCGACCAGGCCGUGGAAGUGCUGCGACCGGGCCUUUUGCACCAAGUCAUUCCCACCGAUGUGCCGCUGCAUGGACAUGGUCGAGCAGUGUGCUGCGACCUGCAAGAAGUGCGAGCCGGCCACGUCGGACUCAUCCCGCCGCGUCUGCAACUACUGGUACCAUGGCUUCCCGGGGCCCAAGUGCACGGAGGCUGAAGGUGCUCGCCAUGAAUAUGAUCACCAGGUGACUGUGGCAGCAGCGAAGAAGUGGGAGGAAGAAGAGAUGCCGUGGAAAUGCUGCGAUUUUCCUCUGUGCACCCUGUCAUACCCGCCGACAUGCCGCUGCAUGGACGAGGCUGUUGCAACAGCCAAGAAGAAGAAGGCGGAAGGAGAAGAGGAGAGGCCGUGGAAAUGCUGCGACAUGGCUCUGUGCACCAGGUCAUUCCCGCCGAUGUGCCGCUGCAUGGACAAGGUCGAGCAGUGUGCUUCCAACUGCAAGAGCUGCGAUCCGGCCAGUCCGGACUCAUCUCGCCGCGUCUGCAACGACUGGUACCAUGGCUUCCCGGGGGCCAAGUGCACCGCCGGCGGUAACUAG
rnacentral:rRNA from 1 species